rnacentral:rRNA from 1 species
CCCGUGCCUUGGCCUAGGUCUACGCGUAGAGUUGAUUGAUGUGUCAGGAUGAACGCUGGCGGCGUGCUUAACACAUGCAAGUCAACGGGGUUUAAGAAGGAAGCUUGCUUUCAUUUUAAACCUAGUGGCGGACGGGUGAGUAACGCGUGAGGAACCUGCCCUUCAUGGGGAACAACAACUAGAAAUGGUUGCUAAUACCGCAUAAUGUCGGAGAGCCGCAUGACUUUCCGACCAAAGGAUUUAUUCGCUGAAGGAUGGCCUCGCGUCCGAUUAGAUAGUUGGUGAGGUAACGGCCCACCAAGUCUACGAUCGGUAGCCGAACUGAGAGGUUGAUCGGCCACAUUGGGACUGAGACACGGCCCAGACUCCUACGGGAGGCAGCAGUGGGGAAUAUUGGGCAAUGGGCCGAAAGCCUGACCCAGCAACGCCGCGUGAAGGAUGACGGUCUUCGGAUUGUAAACUUCUUUAAUUGGGGAAGAACAAAAUGACCUACCCAAAGAAUAAGUCACGGCUAACUACGUGCCAGCCGCCGC